ACAUUCUGAUCUGAGAGCUCAAUCCCCGUCCUCCUCAUGUGAUCAGAUCAACAGGUUAUGACUGCAAGCAAUGAAUACGACUUAUACAACUAAAGAAGUUUAUUAGUAGAGAAGAUUUAGAAGGAGGAGAAGGAAGAACUAAGUUUUCAAUGGAUUAUAUGCAAGGUGCUGUCGUUUCCUCUAAUGAAGAUGAGUUAAUAUUGAGUUAGUUGUUUAAAGAAUUAAGUUUAUGCUAUGAAUUGGUAUUUUCGUAUAUUAUAUCAAGUCAAUUUUUAUGUUUUCUUUUUUGUGGCAAAUUUUUUUUGUCAUUUAUUUUUAAAAUAAUAUUGAUUGAUUGAUUGAUGGAAUGACAACUUAAUUACCUUUAAUCUCAUUGCACUAUUGAUUCAAAUGAAGAAAUUCUAGAAUUUAUUUGUGUUAAAAUCAGUUUAAAUUUAAAAAAAUAUUUAGUUACUUGAACUACAUAAAAUAUGUAUGCAUCAUUUUUGGUUUAAUUGAUUUGUGUGCAUUUUCUGAAUGCAAAAAAGUGUAGGAUUUGUUUGUGUUUAAAUCAGUUUAAAAAAUAUUUAGUUGCUUGAAUUAGUUACUUGAGUUGCUGAAUAAUUAAUCAUUUUAAACAGGAUUUAAUCACUUGAGUUAGUUACUUGAAUUGGAUAAUACUCUUUUAUUGAAAUGGCAAGUUUUUUAAUUGGUAAUUUGUUAGGAAAGAAAAUAUUAUAUUUAAUGGAUGUAAACCAUAUUUAAAAUAGGUUAGUAUUAGAAUAAUAAUGUCAUGAAGAGUAUUACUUAUUUGCUUUAGUCUUUUAUAUUGUUAGUAUUAAAAUAGUAA